rnacentral:rRNA from 1 species
UACGUAGGGACCGAGCGUUGUCCGGAAUCAUUGGGCGUAAAGAGCGUGUAGGCGGCCGAUCAAGUUCCGCGUGAAAUCUCACGGCUCAACCGUGAGCAGCCGUGGAAAACUGGUCGGCUAGAGUGCGGGAGAGGAGAGUGGAAUUCCUGGUGUAGCGGUGAAAUGCGCAGAUAUCAGGAAGAACACCCGUGGCGAAGGCGGCAUCUCUGGAACGCAACUGACGCUGAGACGC